rnacentral:scRNA from 1 species
CCAAGCUUAACCAUGCCAAG